rnacentral:rRNA from 1 species
GUUUGAUCCUGGCUCAGAGCGAACGUUAGCGGCAGGCUUAACACAUGCAAGUCGAGCGAGAAAGGGGCUUCGGCUCCGAGUAAAAGCGGCGGACGGGUGCGUAACACGUGGAUAAUCUGCCUCGUGGCGGGGGACAACAGUCCGAAAGGACUGCUAAUACCGCAUGUCAGGUCGGAAACUCCGGUUUCUGACGAAAAAGAGGGCGUCCGCAAGGAGCUCUCACCACGAGAUGAGUCCGCGUCCCAUCAGCUAGUUGGCGGUGUAAUGGACCACCAAGGCUUAGACGGGUAGCUGGUCUGAGAGGAUGACCAGCCACACUGGGACUGAGACACGGCCCAGACUCCUACGGGAGCAGCAGUGGGGAAUAUUGGACAAUGGGCGAAAGCCUGAUCCAGCCAUGCCGCGUGAGUGAUGAAGGCC